rnacentral:rRNA from 1 species
AGAGUUUGAUCCUGGCUCAGAUUGAACGCUGGCGGCAUGCCUAAUAUAUGUAAGUUGAAUGGAAAUGAUAGGAGUUUGUUUUUGGGUGUCGAGUGGCGGACGGGUGAGUAAUGCAUAGGAAUCUGCCCAUGUAGUGGGGGACAACCUGGGGAAAUUUAGGUUAAUACCGCAUGAGCCCUUCGGGGGAAAGCAGGGGAUCUUUGGAUCUUGCGCUAUUGGAUGAGCCUAUACCUGAUUAGCUUGUUGGUGGGGUAAUGGUUUACCAAGGUGAUGAUUAGUAGUUGGUCUGAGAGGAUGAUCAGCCACACUGGGACUGAGAUAUGGUCCAGAUUCCUAUGGGAGGUAGCAGUGGGGAAUAUUGGAUAAUGGGCGUAAGCCUGAUCCAGCAAUGCCGCGUGUGUGAAGAAGGCCUGCGGGUUGUAAAGCACUUUCAGUGGGGAGGAAAAGCUCAAGGUUAAUAUUUUUGAGUUUUGACGUUAUCCACAGAAGAAGCACCGGCUAACUCUGUGCCAGUAGUUGUGGUAAUACAGAGGGUGCGAGCGUUAAUCGGAAUUACUGGGCGUAAAGCGCGCGUAGGCGGUUUGUUAAGUCGGAUGUGAAAGUUUUGGGUUUAAUUUGGGAAUUGCAUUCGAUACUGGCAGGUUAGAGUAUGGUAGAGGGAAGUGGAAUUUUGGGUGUAGCGGUGAAAUGCGUAGAUAUCCGGAGGAAUAUUAGUGGUGAAGGUGGUUUUUUGGACCAAUAUUGAUGUUGAGGUGUGAAAGCGUGGGGAGUAAAUAGGAUUAGAUAUCCUGGUAGUUUAUGUUGUAAACGAUGAGAACUAGACGUUGGGUUCAUUUAAGAGCUUAGUGUCGUAGUUAAUGCGUGAAGUUCUCCGCCUGGGGAGUACGGCCGCAAGGUUAAAACUCAAAGGAAUUGACGGGGGCCCGCACAAGCGGUGGAGCAUGUGGUUUAAUUCGAUGCAAUGUGAAGAAUUUUACCUACCCUUGAUAUCAUUAGAAUUUGUUAGAGAUGAUUUGGUGCCUUUGGGAAUUGGUUGAUAGGUGCUGUAUGGCUGUCGUCAGCUCGUGUUGUGAGAUGUUGGGUUAAGUUUCGCAACGAGUGCAACCCUUGUCCUUAGUUGCCAGUAUUUAGUUGGGUAUUCUAGGGAGACUGCCGGUGAUAAACUGGAGGAAGGUGGGGAUGACGUCAAGUCAUCAUGGCCCUUAUGGGUAGGGCUACGCACGUGCUACAAUGGUCGGUACAAAGGGUUGUUAAUUUGUGAGGGGAGUCAAUCCCAGAAAGCCGAUCGUAGUCCGGAUUGGAGUCUGUAAUUUGACUCCAUGAAGUCGGAAUCGCUAGUAAUCGCAGAUUAGAAUGUUGUGGUGAAUACGUUCCCGGGCCUUGUACAUACCGCCCGUCACACCAUGGGAGUUGGCUGCAAAAGAAGUGGGUAGUUUAACCUUUGGGAGAACGCUCACCACUUUGUGGUUAAUGACUGGGGUGAAGUUGGAAUAAGGUA